CUUCAAAAGUUAGUUUCUUUUGUUUCUGAGUUCUUCCCUAAUCUCCCCUCCCGUCGGCGUCGCACCUGACCAUUCUCGGUCUUUGGUCGUGAAUCUUGGGUGAAUUUCGUUUUAUAUCUUGUAAACUCAACAAUAACUGUACGAACACAAACAGACAAAUAAAUAAAUAUAAAUAAACAUGGAAAACUUGAUACUAAUAAGAAAAAGAAUCUCAUUUUCUUCCUCAGGUAAUUACUUUAUGACAUUAAGGUUUGCAUAAUUGCGUGAAUUUAAUUUAAUCAGGCAAUUACUUGUUGGGUGGGCAACUCCAAGCUUGGCCCCGGAUGAUUUAUGUUUUGAGCAUUUGCUAAGAAGAAAUAUUUUCGAUAGA
rnacentral:lncRNA from 1 species